rnacentral:rRNA from 1 species
AGCCCAUAAGCUAGCUCCUACCCCUAAAUUCAUCAACCCACUAUUCAUUAACCCCAAAAACCUCAAACGCCAACAAUCAAACCAUUUUCCCCCUCUAGUACGGGCGACAGAAAAGGACAUAAUGAAGCAAUAGAAAUAGUACCGCAAGGGAACGCUGAAAGAGAAAUGAAACAAACCAGUAAAGCAUAGAAAAGCAGAGGUUAAUCCUCGUACCUUUUGCAUCAUGAAUUAGCAAGAAAGCAUUAAGCAAAAAGUAUUUUAGUUUAAUUCCCCGAAACCAAGUGAGCUACUCCAAGACAGCCUGACAGGGCACACCCGUCUCUGUGGCAAAAGAGUGGGAAGAGCUUUGAGUAGAGGUGACAGACCUACCGAACUUGGUUAUAGCUGGUUAUCCAGAAAUUGAAUAGAAGUUCAGCCUUUUGUCCUCUUUCCCCACACACCGGCCACAACCAAACGCGCUAAAGAAGACAAAAGAGUUAGUCAAAGGGGGUACAGCCCCUUUGAAAAAGAUACAACUUUCCCAGGAGGGUUAAGAUCAUAUUACCAUUAAGGAAACGUGUCCUAGUUGGCCUAAAAGCAGCCACCCAUAUAGAAAGCGUUAAAGCUCAAAGACCCUUCCACCCCAUAUCCAGACCACUUAAAUCUUAUCCCCCUAUACACACUGGAUCUUUCCAUACCCCUAUGGAAGAGAUUAUGCUAAUAUGAGUAAUAAGAGAUCCCGCAUCUCUCCCUGCACAAGUGUAUAUCAGAACGAACUGACACCGAAAAUUAACGGCCCCAAAAAAUGAGGGUACUGAGAUAUAAUGGCCUAACCACUAGAAAACCGCCCACUACCCCACCGUUAACCUUACACCAGAGUGCACCCCAGGAAAGACUAAAAGAAAAAGAAGGAACUCGGCAAACACGUAUAGCCCCGCCUGUUUACCAAAAACAUCGCCUCCUGCAAUCCAAGAAUAGGAGGUCCCGCCUGCCCAGUGACAACUGUUAAACGGCCGCGGUAUUCUGACCGUGCGAAGGUAGCGAAAUCACUUGCCUCUUAAAUAGAGACCUGUAUGAAUGGCACAACGAGGGCUAAACUGUCUCCUUUUUCAGGUCAAUGAAAUUGAUCUCCCCGUGCAGAAGCGGGGGUAUUAACAUAAGACGAGAAGACCCUAUGAAGCUUCAGACACCAGAACAGAACAUGUAAAAAACCCCAUAUAAGGGACCAAACCUAGUGAUUGCUGUUCAAUUGUCUUUGGUUGGGGCGACCCCGGAGCAAAAAAAAACCUCCCGUGUGGAAUGGGGAUACCUCCCUCAAAACCAGAGCGACAGCUCUAAUAAACGGAACAUCCGACCAAAUCUGAUCCGGCAAAGCCGAUCAACGGACCGAGUUACCCUAGGGAUAACAGCGCAAUCCUCUUCUAGAGCCCAUAUCGACAAGAGGGUUUACGACCUCGAUGUUGGAUCAGGACAUCCUAUUGGCGCAGCCGCUAUUAAGGGUUCGUUUGUUCAACGAUUAAAGUCCUACGUGAUCUGAGUUCAGACCGGAGCAAUCCAGGUCAGUUUCUAUCUAUGAUAUAAUUUUUUUCCAGUACGAAAGGACCGAAAAGAAGGGGCCCAUGCUAAAAGCACGCCUCAUUCUCACUUAAUGACAACAACUAAAAUAAGUAAGAGAAUACAUUUCUCUUAUCUAAGAAAAAGAUU